GGGGCCGACCUUGGAUUUGACAGCGAGAGUAUCGGUUUUGUAAGCAUGUCGAGAUGUGUGAGUUGGCUCGUAAAAACUAAUUCUCAUCCAAUUUAAUUGGAAAUAACAACUACGCACUUGCUGCAUAGUCACUUGAUGUGACUCUGCUUAAUCGCGCUACUAGGUAGUCGACAAGUACCCUGGUUAUAACUACCCGUUUAUCGGUUAUAACUAUAUGGGUUCGUUGGUAUAAACUAGUAUUAAUAGCGUCUUGAUAUUAAUGCGAAACUAAAAAGACUAAGCUAUACAUUGGGUGUUCGCUUCCGGUUUAUAGUCGAAAAUUAAUAGUGAAAUAAACAUGUAGAAAGCACUACUUGAACCUUGUUUGGACGAGGGUUCGAAACCCUCCGGCUCCACUC
rnacentral:tmRNA from 1 species